rnacentral:rRNA from 1 species
GUACACUCCUGCGGGAGGCAGCAGUGGGGAAUAUUGCACAAUGGGCGCAAGCCUGAUGCAGCCAUGCCGCGUGUAUGAAGAAGGCCUUCGGGUUGUAAAGUACUUUCAGCGGGGAGGAAGGCGAUAAGGUUAAUAACCUUGUUGAUUGACGUUACCCGCAGAAGAAGCACCGGCUAACUCCGUGCCAGCAGCCGCGGUAAUACGGAGGGUGCAAGCGUUAAUCGGAAUUACUGGGCGUAAAGCGCACGCAGGCGGUCUGUCAAGUCGGAUGUGAAAUCCCCGGGCUCAACCUGGGAACUGCAUUCGAAACUGGCAGGCUAGAGUCUUGUAGAGGGGGGUAGAAUUCCAGGUGUAGCGGUGAAAUGCGUAGAGAUCUGGAGGAAUACCGGUGGCGAAGGCGGCCCCCUGGACAAAGACUGACGCUCAGGUGCGAAAGCGUGGGGAGCAAACAGGAUUAGAUACCCUUGUAGUCCCAUGAU